rnacentral:lncRNA from 1 species
AGUCUGAACUUGCCAGCAUCCAGGCAGGACGGCAGCAGCUGAGCAGAGGAGAGAGGUGGAGGAGAUGCCGCUGUCCCGUCGGUCUGGGGACAGCCCAGCUCCCCGGAUCCCGGGCUGGAGAGACGCGUCGCGGCCCCGGGGCCUGGUGGCACGAGCAGGAAGGAGGACCCGGCGGCGGGCUCUGCCUGGGCUUGCCUGGGCUUGUUCCGAGCCGGGCUGCUUCUCGGUGACCACGCAGAUCGGGGGCAUUUGGAGAUUUUGCGGGAGUCCUGCAGCCAAGCUCCGGGGCAGGAGAGGCCUGGAAGCCUGCACUACCUGCUCGCCCCGUCCCAGCAUGCACCCAGGUGCUGGGGAGAGGCAGGACAGGCCUGUCCCCCGAGUCCCCUCCGGAUGCCGUGGACCGGCCAGCUGUGAGUG